ACGACCGCUGGCGGCUGCUUAACACAUGCAAGUCGAACGGAGUGGCGAACGGGUGAGUAACGCGUGAGCAACCUGCCUAUGACAGUGGGAUAGCCUAGGGAAACAGGGAUUAAUACCGCAUAGUCAUAGAUGGGCUCGUGUCUGAUUAGCUAGUUGGUGAGAUAACAGCCCAACAAGGCGACGAUCAGUAGCCGGUCUGAGAUGAUGAACGGCCACAGUGGAACUGAGACACUGGCCAACCGCCUACGGGAGGCAGCAGUGGGGAAUAUUGCACAAGGGGGGAACCCCUGAUGCAGCGACGCCGCGUGAACGAAGAAGGGAUUCGUAUCGUAAAGUUCUGUCCUAUGGGAAGCAGUACCAGAGAAGACAGCUCCGGCUAAAUACGUGCCAGCAGCCGCGGUAAUUC
rnacentral:rRNA from 1 species